rnacentral:lncRNA from 1 species
CCCCUCCUCCUCAAACACCUGUUUACAUCUACAUACUUGCCUGUCAGGCCUUCUUGUCAUUGGAAAUUGAUUUCUAAGUGAAAUUUUAAAUCUUGUCAAAUUGACAGGAUUACAUCAAGUUGACCAUGGUAAUGUUGGACAUGGCAAAGUGUUUGUCUAACGAGAACUGAGCUGGAUGAAAAUACCUGAAAACAAGGGAAAAUCAGCCAGGGUGGUGAUGAGGAUCCUCUCUGUGAUGAUGUUGGGAAGGGCAAAUAUGAUGAAGGUUUUCAGAGAGUGAUGCCAAUAAUACAGUAAAUUCUUGACUCUUUGGAAUUCUAAACUAAGAGACAAGGUACUUAUUUUUAUUUC